rnacentral:tRNA from 1 species
AAAUAAGUAGCAUAUAAUGCAUUUAGUUUCGACCUAAAAGAAUGAUUAAAAUAAUAUCCUUAUUUA